AAGACAAAAAUAAUUUAAAUUAAAAUUAUCCUCAAACAUUUAAUUUUUAAGUACCAAUAAAAUCAUGCUACAUGAUAAAAUUUUAAAUAUAUAUUAUACAAUACAGUCACUUUCACCUUUUCUAAUUUAAUUCAACUUUAAUUAAAUUACACAAAAAUAAUUAAAUUUUUAAAUGUUGAAACUAUAGCCCAGAAAAAUCAUAAGAAAAGAAAUCGGAAACCUG
rnacentral:lncRNA from 1 species